GGAGAAUUGGUGAUGGGAUAAGAGUGGGUGACAGACCCACGUGAGUGACCCACCGCCACCACCACCCUCUUCUCCCUCCUGUAUUAGGGUGGAUUUCUUGGUUGGCUUCAUAUCAACGCUAACAGCCAAAAUAACCCAACCUCACAAACAAUACAAAACCAACAUACCCACAAAUAAGAUAACACCAUCCUCGCAAAAAAGUGCAACAAAAAUUAAAGUUAAGAGGUUACUAUCAUUAACUCAUUUGACAAAGUGAACCACUUUCUUGGAUGGUUGCCCACUUCUCUAAUGCUAGUGGUUCUCUCUCUUCCCCCCUUUGGUUCCCCACUACUCUUUCCCUUUCUUUUUCCUCUCUAAUGCUAGUGGUUUCAAUCUCUUUCUCUAUUGCCUUCUUCUCUCAUGCUGUACACUUGUUAGCUGCUAAACACUGGUAAAUUCUUUUGUUUAGUAUGGACAGAGAUGGAUAAAGAAACAAACCAAGAAAGCCCUUCUCUCCUCUCUAACAAUAAUUCUAUCAAAGAAGAACCUUCAAGAAAACAACUUCCUGCUACUGGUAGUAGUGGUUUUGCUGCUGCUGGUGGAGAUAGACUCAAACGAGAUGAAUGGAGCGAAGGAGCUGUUUCUAGCUUGCUUGAGGCCUAUGAGAGUAAGUGGGUACUUAGAAACCGAGCUAAACUCAAAGGACAUGACUGGGAAGACGUUGCUCGUUAUGUUUCAUCGCGUGCAAAUUAUACCAAGUCACCCAAGACUCAAACGCAGUGUAAGAAUAAGAUUGAGUCAAUGAAGAAGAGGUAUAGAUCAGAAUCCGCCACUGCAGAUGCUUCCUCUUGGCCCUUAUACCCACGUCUUGAUCUUCUGUUACGUGGGAGUGCUGCUGCCACAGCUGCAGCGGCGGCGGCAGCAGUACCACCACCACAGCCACCACCACAACAACAACCAUCGCCUCUUCAAGUAUCCAAUCAUUCCCCUCCUUUGAUGUUGUUGGAAACAUCCCAUCUACUGUUGCCACAGCCAAAUCCACAGCCUCCGGCUCCUCAGCCUCCUGCUCCUCCUCCUCCUCCUCCACCUCCAGCUAUUGUGACUGCACAGAACUCACAUGGGUCCAAUGGUGUUGACAGGGGGGCCAAGUCAGGGUCUUUAUGUUGCUCCAACUGCAGUUACUCAUCCUCAAAAGUCACCAUUCUCCAAAGAAACCCAAGUGACAAUGUCGUGCCUUUUGCUUCGGAUGUUAUGAGUGCCUCUAGGCCCUUGCGGUCUCGUGUGAGAGCCGAGUAUCGGCAUGCUUUUGAGGAAGGAUCUCACAAUUCCAUAGCUCUCUAUCUCUCCCUUCUGUUCGGGAUCCGCUGAAGCCAAUAUUUCCAUUUUCUACUUUGUAAAUGAAAGAAUGGGAGGACAUGCAAGACUCUAAAACUUUAAUGAGAAUUUUGCAAAAAUUCAAACAAAGGUAACUCUUCUACAAAUCGAGAAAAAAAUCAAUGUCUAUAUUGAGGUUUAGAUGUGGCAAACUUGGGUUUCUUGAAGAAGAUGGGAACUCUAAGGUCUGUAUGCGGCAGUCUUCUUAGCCGCUAAUCCCAAGGCUUUGCUGGAGAUUUCACUGUAUUCUCUUCUUUUCUUUUAGGCCUACCAUCUUUUUCUACAUGUUGUGGUAGUAACCUAGAGAUGAUGAAUGUGAUGUAUUUUGAAUCUUACAGAUCUAGAAGGGUCAACUUUUAGAUAUGUAGUUCCAUGUGCCUGUAGGAGUUUUUCUCGGACCUAUAUCCAUAGAGUUUGUGGGUUGUUUUGGUUCUUUUUCUUUUGAGGUUCAGUGUGCUUCCUUAUGUCUUUUGACUACUGUUUAGAGACUUUUCUUUCCGCUGUGGAGGAUAUGUUUUUUGAUCUACCAGUGAUUCUAAUGGAAGGAGGCAGCAAUUGAUGUUCUGCAAUUGGGUCUUGGCUCUAGACCUGAGGGUCUUUAUGAGGUUCUAUUAGAUUUAGGGUUAUGAUUAGACUUUUCUUUUAAUUUGUUUAUGGGCCUUAGAUUCUACCUUUCUUCUUCUUGAUGAAAUACAAUCUUUAAAAAAAAAUAUUUAAUCUUGAAAUUUGUUAAAAUUAAUUGAUUGAUCUCAUUUUUUUAAAAAAUCCAAUUAGUUAAUACCUCACACUUGAGUUUGUUAAUCCUAAUUUUCUGGUAGUCAACGCAAAUAAGGGAGGUCAAAUGAGGGAUAGGCAAAUUUUAUUACAAAACUAUCUUCAAAACCCAUUUAAUCCCUAAUUUAAUUCGAUUUAGAUAUUAUUUGCCUCUGUCGUGCUCGAGGCUUCUUAAUGCAUUUAACAUCUGGUACAUGCCGCCUCCAACAACUGUGUAUUACCAAUGGCUGAUCGUUUACCGCCACACUAAGUUCAGGUGCAUCUGCAUCCCCUUUAUGGUCCUGGCGUCAAGGGUCAACAGAAGGGCCCUUUAGCCUUUGAAGUGCAAGCAGUAGUCUCCUUUUUCCCCAUUGAUAGUGGGCUUCUUGCACUUGCAGGCUUAUCUCUAAUUGGUUCCCACAUCAUUACCGCCCCUCUUUUUUCAUCUUCAACCUAGUUCUUGUCCACCUGCUUUUGUCCUUGUGCUUCCGGUGGUGGCUUUUCUAGCUUAUGGGACUCACAAGAGUGGCGAUCAAUAGAGGGGUGAGAAUGAGGGGGAGAUCCCAUAUUGCUAAGCAUCGUCAUGGAAUGAAAUGUCGUGGCUAUCUUCUCUUCAUCAUGAGAUUACCAUGAUGGGCUCUGAGCACAGUAGAUGGGACGGCAUGGAGAGCUUGUGAGAGAGGGUAGUGCGAGACUGGCGACGACAAAGUUCAUCUUGGCAUGCAUUUUGCAGGUAACCGAAAAUUAGAGUUAAUUGAAUAAAAGGAGUUUGGGAUUAACGCAGUUAAUUGUGAGAUCACGAGCAACACUUUCGCACAUUCACAUUCACGGACAGCCGCCGGCCCAUCCCGAUACCCCGUCCCUUGGCUUACGUCCUUCGUCCUCCGCCGCUGCUCCUCAAUCAUUCCGCUGCUUCUUCUCCUCUGUCACAUUGCUGCUCCUCCAUCGCCGAUGCUUCUGUCUUCCAAAGUCACGACGCAGGGACUAAAGGAAACCAUCGUACCUUGUGAUUUGGAGUUGGAAGAUUAUGCUUUUCAGUUUCUUAUUAUUGUAAUUUGUGAUCACAUUUUCAAUCUGUGGUUGUUCAAUUGUUUGUUAGACAUUAAAGUAUUUAUGUCUUUGAGCUUCUUUUCAUUGCAAUUUUAUUUAUGUUCACUAAUUAUUAUUAUGUUGAUUAACUUGUAUGGAUUGUGUUUGUUUCAAUUUUAACUUUAUUUAUGAUUUAUUUCAUGUACUUAUUUUUAUCUAUUU